rnacentral:rRNA from 1 species
UACAGAGGUCCCAAGCGUUGUUCGGAUUCACUGGGCGUAAAGGGUGCGUAGGUGGUGAGGUAAGUCGGAUGUGAAAUCUCCGAGCUCAACUCGGAAAUGGCAUUGGAAACUACCUUGCUCGAGGGUUGGAGGGGGGACUGGAAUGCUUGGUGUAGCAGUGAAAUGCGUAGAUAUCGAGCGGAACACCAGUGGCGAAGGCGAGUCCCUGGACAACUCCUGACACUGAGGCACGAAAGCUAGGGGAGCAAACAGG